rnacentral:miRNA from 1 species
GUGCGUGUGUGAGAGGCCAUCGUA